rnacentral:SRP_RNA from 1 species
GUCGAGCUUAGUAACGCAAGCUUGUGAUCCGAGUGGAGACAAUAAGGUGAUGGGACGUUGUCGUGACUUGCCCGGGUAUGGUUUGGCCCAAGGGAGUUCGGUUUGCCGCAAUGGCAUGGCGUUAGUCUCCCACAGCCUCCUGGUAUGCCAGUUUAAAUUGGACCUGACUAGCCUGGGUAUGGUUUGGCCCAAGGGAGUUCGGUUUGCCGCAAUGGCAUGGCGUUAUUCUCCCUCAGCCUCCGGGUAUGCCGGUUUAAAUUGGACCAUCACUUUU